GGGGGUAUAGCUCAGCUGGCUAGAGCGCCUGCCUUGCAAGCAGGAGGUCUUCGGUUCGAUCCCGUAUACCUCCACCA
rnacentral:tRNA from 1 species